AAAAUAUAGCGGGUUUCCUCUCUAAGACUAUAUAUCAGAAUUACAAAAUGUUUAACAUCCAAUAGCCGAUGAUUAAUAAAUCAAUGUGCUCUAGUGGUGUCGUUAAAUAACAAACUUUAACUUUCGUGAAUUUAUUUCAGUGAGUUUGAGACAAUCGAUGAUAUCGGUGUCCUGGUUAUUUUUAUAUACGUGUAUAUAUUACAUGGGUCGUUUGCUUACUAAAUAGGUUAUUUUUAUAUACGUGUAUAUAUUACACGGGUCAUUUGCUUACUAAACAGGUUAUUUUUAUAUACGUGUAUAUAUUACACGGGUCGUUUGCUUACUAAAUAGGUUAUUUUUAUAUACGUGUAUAUAUUACACGGGUCGUUUGCUUACUAAACAGGUUAUUUUUACAUUAAAAACUUGGUUUACUAGUACAUGUGUUUCAUAUUUAACGUACUCGUUGUUUGCUUAUAAAAAAAACGCUUUUUCCGUAAGCCGGUCGUUUAGUAGUAAACUGGUUGUAUUGUUAUUAAAAUGAUCAUUUAUUAAAAUUAUUUUGCUAAA